UACGUAGGGGGCGAGCGUUGUCCGGAAUUAUUGGGCGUAAAGAGCGUGUAGGCGGUUCGGUAAGUCUGCCGUGAAAACCUGGGGCUCAACCCCGGGCGUGCGGUGGAUACUGCCGGGCUAGAGGGUGGUAGAGGCGAGUGGAAUUCCCGGUGUAGCGGUGAAAUGCGCAGAUAUCAGGAAGAACACCAAUGGCGAAAGCAGCUCUCUGGGACGGUACUGACGCUGAGACGCGAAAGCGUGGGGAGCGAACAGG
rnacentral:rRNA from 1 species